UUUUAAAGAUUCCAUUGUGAACAAGGGAUUCGUACGGAUCCCGAAACGUGAUU
rnacentral:lncRNA from 1 species